UUACGCUGUUAUCCCUAAGGUAACUUAAUCUAACAAUCAUUAAAAAUGGAUCUAAAAUUCAUAUAUCAAUGGUAAAUAAAUGAAAAAGUUAAUUAUAUAUUUUUGUCACCCCAACAAAAUAUAAUCUUCCAUAAUUAUAUUAAUAUAUAAAUAAAUAUAAAAGAAUAUAUAAAGAUCUAUAGGGUCUUCUCGUCUUCCAAUAGUAUUUUAGCUUUUUAACUAAAAAAUUAAGUUUUAAAACAAAUAAAAUGAGACAGUCAAUUCCUCGUUAAACCGUUCAUUCCAGCCCUCUAUUAAAAGACUAAUGAUUAUGCUACCUUUGCACGGUCAGUAUACCGCGGCCGUUAAAUUUAUCACUGGGCAGGCCAGACCUUAAAUUAAAUUCUAAAGGCC
rnacentral:rRNA from 1 species